ensembl:lncRNA
CAAAGCUAGAUUCCUUUUUUCCUGUCUUUGCACGUGUUCGCUUUGUCUUGUUCAGCUUCCCAAAGAGCCGGGGAUGGUUUCCCACUGGUUUCCAAAAGGAGAACUUCUCUGUGCUCUGCUGACUGCUGGAGCUCGCAGGCAGUGAUGCUGCAGCAUAUGUGGGAUGGCUGAGCUGAAUUGGCUACCUAUAAACACACCCCAGAUGUUAGCAGGGAAAAGGAAACUGGAAUACAUCAGGAAGCCUUUGGAGUAAAUCCCUCCCAUGGAGCCCCCUCCUCGAGCUGCUAAUGGCUGCGCUUCUCCAGGAGCCAUCAGGGAGGUGGGCGUGCUCUGGGCUGUGUGAUGCGUGUCAAGCACAGCUCUGAAGCCUUCUGGUCAGCGGGAGAUCCCCCAUGAGCUGAGAUGCAGUGGGCUGUAAAGCUGUGUGGUUGUUCUGGAGGCAAACCCUGUGGAGCUGUGCUGAUUGAUGGUGUCUGGAUGAAGAGCUUAUGCCAUCUACAGAGGCAACCCAAAGAGAUAAUCAUCGCCCGCUGACAACCCCUCGCCAUCCAUCACCCGCGCGCGGCGGCUGUCAGCAGAUCCCAGCCCCUACCUGGGGGGAGAGGCACUGCCACUGAGGCAUCUCACAGCACUGUGCAGCAGGAGGAUGGCAGAUAACUUCAGUCAGCUCGAGAGAUUGAUAUGCAAGGCAAAGGGAAGUGCAUUAAGCUAUUUAACUGCCUGGAAAUCCAGCGUGAUGAACAUCCAAAGGAAAACUUACUUUGUCCAAAUCAAGUGCUCAAGUGACAACGAAGUCAAGUGCUUGCAAGGUAGAGAAGGAUAAUUGCUGUAUCCUGAAAGGAUGUGUCCAGUCUGUAUUUCACAGAGCUGAAGCUAACUCUGAAGACUUUGGCUUUGAAUGACCUUGCUUAUUUUUCUGGCUCUCCUACCCUUCAGUAUGGCUGCUACCUAUAUAUUGUGGAAUGAAUGGAGCUGAGGUCAUGGCCCCUGUAGCUGCUCCACGAAAUAUGUCCACUGGGAACUUCAUGGAUUGGCCCCCUGCCCCUCCACUGAUUAGCCCACGAAUACGUACAGAAAAUUCUGGAAGCUCUGUUGAACUGUGGUCACAGGAGGAAUUCUGAGCGCAGAGAUGAGAAUUGAGAAUUGCUGCAAGCUUUCUGGCUGUAAAAAAAAAAAAAAAAAAAAAAGUAUGGAAAAGUCCCCAUGAUUUUCUGGCUGGAGCAGCUAGAAAGAAACGGAUAUGGUCCCCAGCAGAAGUGUGAGCUGAGGUUACCCUGACAUGGUAUUGACUUGACAGCUCCUUCAGGCUCAGCUGUCUUCUGGGCUUCUUUCAGUUGCAAAACGUGCUGAGCCAGAAGUAGGAAAAUAGAAAAUGAUGACUUUAAACUUCACCACACCUAAAAUCACAGUAAGUAUUUAUACUUCAAAUGCUUUUUUUAAUACCUCCAUCUGUGUUUUACUUGGUUCACAUGUUCAGAUUAUUCUCUAAGUUUGUGACAAAACUUUUAUUAUGUAUGUAUGUACAUUAAUGAAAGCUCAGUUUGUUAACUAAUCUCCAGCUAUUGGGAACCAGGUCCUUCCAGAAAAACGUAAAUGUGCAGCAAAGCAAUGAAACAAGCCACAGUUAGUAAGUAAACUGGGCAUCCUGCUUUUAGAGUUCCUAGUGUCAGCAUUUUGUUGCGUUGUUUUAGAGGUGUUGAGGAACUAUUUCCCCAAGUGAUGUUGGGAUCCUCAGUGGGGGCUCCACAUCUCCGUACUUCAGGCAUCUCAAUCGAAGCAGCCAAAAACUGGGUCAAGGCAACGCUCCAAAAUUUUAGUGGUGAGCCUCCAAAAUUCAAGACACUCGGGGAAUGUGUGUUGGGAAUAAUAUGAGAGCGCUGGGGGAAAAAAAAAUGAUGGAGAAGGAGUACUUAAUUUGUACCAAAUAUUGAUAUUUCAAAAUUUGGUACUGUCAGUUUGGAACAAAGCACGCUGUCUGUUUUUAAACCCCUGUGAAAGUCGAGCCAGUUGCCUUUGAGCUUCAGACGCUGUCUGAACCCAUAGGUUCCUAACUUGCCACAAGGCAAUCCAUAUAGCUGGCUGCUUUGAAUCUGCAGGCACGGGGAAUUUUGGAUGCCGGCUUUCAAGGAGUCUCCCCACUGGGUUGCACUGGAACCUGGAAUUGGAGAACGUGGGUUGGCAAGAGCUGAGGUGUCUGGGAGCUGCCGAGCAGCCCCGGAGGCUUCCCAAAUUCCGCUCCCCACCAUCCCGUCUGGGAGGACAGAGGAAGCUGGGCAGCAUUUCUCAGCUCAAAACCUCAGAAUUUGGGAUCCGGGCCCCUGAAACUUUCACCCCCUGUUCCUGGACGGCUGUGGCACGCAGCUGGAGUGCAGAAAGGCGAACUGGCCUCAGCGGAGGCACCUGGUGGCUCUGCAGGUGGCCCCAGGCUGCCGUGUGCUGCUCAGCACCAUUUUGGGGCAAUUUAUCGCAGGAUCAGAGCACUGAGGAGCUACUGUUUGUAUUCGGAUGGGCUCCCUUUCAGCAUGAGGGGGCAAUGCCGGAGGCUGGGCAGCGAGACAGCCCUGUCUGCCCAGCAGUGGAACGGAGGAGCUGGCUAUUCACCUGGAUGCCGUCCUGAGUUAGUCAAAACCAGAGCCUCUCUGCAAAGCACCUAGACCUGAACACACAGUGGUUCUCUGACAAAAAUGUUCCGUCGGAGAACUUCUGACCAGGUCUGGUGGUAAACAGGCUCAAACGACACUCUGGAGAUGAUACAGGGCAAAAAUUAUUCGGGUCCCUGGUCUGCAGAGUGGGAGGAUGAGGGAAGAGAACAGUAAAUUGAAGAGGUUGAAACUGCUGAUUGUCCGAGCCUGACUGAGUGGUGCUCAGCUGUGUGGAAAGAUGUGUGGCAGUUGUUUGCGUUAUUUUUCUUUUUUUUUUCCACAGAAAACAGCCGCCACGAGAGCCGCAUCCCCGUUGCCACGGCUGAGGGUCCCCGCGCUGAGGGGGCCCUGAGGGGCGCUCCCCGCCCCGCGCUCUGAGGGGCUGUGAGGCGGGAAGGCCGCGCGGCCCCGCGCUGCUCAGGGCUCGCCUUUCCGCGGCGCCGUAGCGGGGCUGAGAGAGGAGAGCCGAGGGGCCCCUGCCCCGAGCGGGGAGGGGGGGAGCGGAGUUCCCGGCGGGCCGGCCGCCUCCCCGCCCUCCCCCGGCGGCGUGAGUGAGCGUGUUUGGGAGGGAAGGAGGGGGUGGAAGCCGGGCCGGGGCGGCCAGCAGGCAAUUUGCAUGAGAGACAGACUGGGAAUGAGCUGGAGUGGGCGCCUCUCCGCGCACACAGAGCGGGGCAGGAGGGGGAGGAGGAGGGAGCUGCCGCCGCCGCCGCCGCCGGGGAGAGGCGGCGAACUCCGGGCAAAGUUUGGUGCCGCGGGCCCGAGGCGCUGAGGCGGCGGAGAG